rnacentral:rRNA from 1 species
CCCUUAGAUGUUCUGGGCCGCACACGCGCUACACUGAAGGAGGCAGCGUGUACUCCUGGAUCGAAAGAUUUGGGUAACCCGCGAAUCUCCUUCGUGCUAGGGAUUGAGGUUUGCAAUUAUCCUUCAUGAACGAGGAAUUCCCAGUAAGUGCAAGUCAUAAGCUUGCGCUGACUACGUCCCUGCCCUUUGUACACACCGCCCGUCGCUACUACCGAUUGAAUGAUUUAGUGAGGACUUCGGACUGGGACCGAUGCGGCUUUCGGGCUGCGUCGGUAUUCUGGAAAGAUGUCCAAACUGUAUCAUUUAGAGGAAGGAGAAGUCGUANCA